UGCAUGGUAGGUGGUAAUAAAUUCUUAACAGUUUGUUGUUUGAUACUCAUGUUUGGCUUAUUGGAUCAUGGUGCCAGAGGCAAAAAUAAUUAGAAGGAGGAUAGUAUUUAGUAAAGCAAGACAAAAUUAAGUUUUAUUUAAAAAUUAUUAUUAUUAUGAUUGUGGUAAAAUACACAUAACAUAAAAUUUGCCAUCUUCACUAUUUUUAAUUGUGUAGUUCGGUGGUAUUAAAUAUGUUCACAUGUUAUGUAACCAUCAACAUCAUCAAUCUCCAUAAUGCUUUUCAUUUUGUAAAUCUGAAAUUCCAUACCCAUUAAGCAAUAACUCCCUAUUUACCCCACCCCCCAGACCCUGACAACCACAAUUCUAUUUUCUGUCUCUAUGGUUUAGACUACUUUAAGUACCUUUUAUAAGUGGAAUCAUGCAAUAUUUGUCUUUUUGUGACUGGUCAUUUUUCUUAGCAUAAAGUUGUCAACCUUUAUGACAACUUCUUCCAUAUUGUAGCAUAUGUAAGAAUUUCCUUCCUUUUUAAGGCUGAAUAAUCCAAAUUAAGUUUUGUAGCCUGAUAAAAUACUGACAGGUUGAACAUCAUAGAAAACCCUUUAUAAAAUCUGUAUUUAAAUAAAUAGUUUCCAUUCUAUAGAGUAUAAUGUUGCGCUUAUUAAAAGAGAAAUAAUGAUAAAAACAUGUAUUUGAUGUACAAACAUUCUGCUUAUGGCAUCUUGAAGAAUUUAGGACACAGUCACAUUCAGGAAUUACAGGCUAAUGAGCAUCUUCACCUCUUUUCAUUCACUCUGAAGAGGUUUCAUGAAAGUCAGAAGACUUUCAACAUUGGGAAUGUUGGAAUGAAAUGUGCUUUAGUAUUUUUAAUUUUUUUUAAAUAAAAUAAUCCAGGUGAGGUUAAUUAAUGCAUACACUCAGCCUAAUCAAAAGAAAUCUAUUGGGAUAAUGAGCAUUUUGGUGACUAUUGCAAAGAAAAAGGUGCUUAUUUCUAAGGCAGAAAGAAAAUAUAUUUUCAUAGUUAAUAUAUACAUUAAAAUUGUAUGUACUUGCAUAUUAGAUAUACACAGUGUUAAAGCUAUGGCUAAUAUAUCAUUUUGGAGAAAAAUCUGAGUAAAAAUUAACUCUUGUAAAGAGUUACUGGUGUCAGAUGGCAGAGUCCCAAAUGAGUGGAUUCGUUUAUCCCCACAAUGUAUCAGGUGAUCACCUCUCAUAAAAACUACUAUUAACCUAAAAAAUUAGGGUCAGUAAAAGCUUAGCUCUAAUUCACAAAUCUCAACAAGCUGAACUGUUAGACCCAGUGAGCUCAUUAGGAUAGAUUAAAGACCAAACAUAAUGACAUUACGAAAUAUGUGAUUUUAAUAUGUUUGAUCCUAUCAGAGCAAUCCUUUUAAUAACAUGAUUUUAUUGUGGAACCUUGUAUGUUUUCCUUAAAAACCAAAAAGACAAUCUAAAAAUUUAACCCAUUGUUGUUUCUUAGCUUGUAACCCCGUGAUACUUGAUUUAAUUUGGUAAAGCUGACUGAAGUGAUGCUAUUCUGGGACAUAAUGACAGCAAAGAUGACAUGAGCCAAUGCUGCAGCUGAAUUUCAAUUUUCAGUAAAAAAUCCUCACCCCACCUGCCACUGGAAUAGAAAUAAUAUCAAGGGCUAACUUCUAAUCUUGCACCCCUGUCAUACAUCAUACUCUGGAUUCCAACAGUCUACACCUAUUUUCUUUUAUAAUGGUCCUAACCCCAAACAAGCAACCUAGGGUUUGUAGCAACAAAAUCAGAUCCUUACAGUGAACAGGACUUUGCAAAGCACCUUCUUCAGAAUUAGUAAUAUUACUUACUUAAUAUGGGAAAAAACAUACAAAUCUUACCAUCAAUGGGCCAACUCAUAACCAACAAUUUAUAGCAUACAAGAACCUUCAUGGUAUCUUAUUCAACCUUUAACAUAAUUCUAUUUGUUAUCAUUAAUUCUAAAUCACAAAUGAGGAAACAGAGUCAGAAACAGCUGAUUUUUCACUGUGCUUGGGUUAGGUCCAACUCUGGAAUUAUCAUAUGCAAAUAAUGACAGAGAGAGGCUCUCAUAUAGUUGUAGAAUUGUAACAAGACAACAAGCAAUUCACAUAAGUCAUGGUUUCUCAGACAAUAAUCUUGUUUAGUAAUUAUUAGUCUUUAUCUGAAACACAUGGUUUGAUGGUAAAUUUUUUGAAUAGGCGAUAAUAAAAAAUAAUUCUCAAAAAGAACCCUCAAAGUCAACUGUGUGUAUUUCCUUCUUUCCUGGUGGGGAAAGUUUAUAAGGGUUGGGGCAAGUCCCUUCAGACCCAGGAAUUUGAUAAACACCAUCAGGGUUGUUGAGACCAACCUCACUGUGAGAGAGAAACAGAAUGAAUGAGAUGUUGAUAUAGGAAAGGAAGUAGCUGAAUUAAGAGUGUUUUCUUCUUUACUAACAGCCAGUCCACACGUUGAAAAGCAUUCAGUUACAAUUUUUAUCUAUAAAGAGUGGAACAUUCGCCCAAUGUCCCAGUACAAUAGGACCAUGAGAGUGAAGUUCCCUAAAGAACUCAACCAUUUCCAUGGAUAGAUGGCAGAGGAACACAGCUUUGCUGUCAGAAUGAUUUGUGACCAGGCCUAGAUGGGGACUGGGGGCAUCCUGGCAGGUUGAUAAUUUUAUUUUAAAACCAUAUUCUUUCAAUAUUUGUACAUUUAUAUCGAAGAGAGUCUGAGCUCUGUGUGGGAGCAAUGUGCAGUGGGAACUUCUGGGUCCCUCGGUGUCCCCUUUCAUGUCUUAGGCUAUUUGGCUCUACCAGGUGUGGAUAUUCCACUCAGCACGGCUGUGCCCACAGAGGCUGUGCCUCUGGCUUGCUCUUCUUGGAAGUCAGAUGCAAAUAUCGCCUUCUCGGGUCUUAGCCCCAUCUUAGUAUCCCAUCCUUUUCCCUAAGAAGAAACGUGGCAUAUACAAGUUCCUCCAUCUUGUGACAUUUCCACGAUUCUCUUAGCCCCUCUUACAGAACAGUUUCCCAAGCAGCAGCCUGCCUGAUCCACCCUUAAUUCAGCUGUGCGUCUGACAACAUGUUCUACAGGAAAGAUAACCUUGUACAUCAGGUGUUUCCUGUUUCCAGUACCAAAAGGUCAGUACUUGAUUACACAUGUAUUUACAAGGGUAGAGAAGGGAAAUGAUCAAAAGUUUUUACAACCAUAGUCCUUCAAUUAAGAAAGAAGUGGUCUUUAAUUUUCUCCAUUCUUUUUAAAAAUUCUCUUUCUACCUUUGUUUAAAUAUCUCUCCUAACUAGGAAAGACCUGUUGUACAUCAUACAAGGCAUACCAACCCACAUACUAGAACACAUAAGUAGGAGGAAUAGUGUUCUAGAAGAGAAUUACUAUUUGGAGAAAAAAAGGCAUAAUUUCCUUUUACAGUCAUGCAUUGCUUAAUGCCAGAGAUACGUCCUGAGAAAUGUGUGAUUAGGCAGUAUCAUCAUUGUGUGAACAUAAUAGAAUGUAUUUACACAAACCUAGGUGGUAUAACCCACUAUUCACCUAAGCAAUAUGGUACUGCUCCUAGGCUACAAACCUGUAUAGCAUGUUACUAUACUGGAUACUGUAAACAAUUGUAACCCAAUGGUAAGUAUUUACAUAUCUAAACAUAUCUGAGCAUUAAAAAGGUACAGUAAAAAUACAGUAUUCUAGUCUUACAGGAUUACCACUAUAUAUGCCCUUUGUCAUUGAUGGAACCAUCAUUAUGCUGUGCUUGCCUAUAUUUCAAAAUUCACUAUAAAAAGAUAGGUGAACCUCAGAUCCAUCUCCUAGAUGUAUGAUUUCUAGCUGCAUAUUAACCUCAGUCACAUUUUAAUAUUAUUCACACAAAAAUUAAAACACUCAGGUAUUUGUGAUGAAGUAAUUUUGCCUAAAUUUAUUUUAUUUCCAAAGAACCUGCAUCAAUUUGAUUCAGUAACAUUUAAAAUCAUUCAACAAAAAUCUUUCAAACUUUUAUGUUACAGUAAUAUUCAAACUCUUUUUUUGUGGCUCAAAUCUUUUUAUGAACUUCAAUUAUGUGAAAAUAUCCAAUUUUAUUUUUAAAUAAAGAUGUUUAGAAAUGUAUUGAUAUUUGUCAAAUCUAAGUUGCAGCUAUGUAAGUUUUUAUUAAGUCAUUCUCUGUGUAUACUUCUAAGUAUGUUGGACUUCUUACAUAAAAAAUUAAACGUUAUUGAGGAAAGAAAAGGGAGAAUAAGUUUCAAAAAGAAAUUUAUCUUUCUUUAGAUAUAUAUAAUCAUCACAAAAUAUUAUCAGAUAACAAAUCUUGAAUUUUACUUUAAAUGAAAACAUUUUUCAGAUCUGUCUUACUAAUUUUAUGUAAUUCCUUUUCACAUGUUUCGUGAGGCUGAUAAAAUGCUUCGUAAGCAGGUAUUCAUGUGGCUCUAUAACAAGUUAUUUUUAGGAAGCUUAUAUACAAAAAUACUUGCCACACUUUCUCUCACUCUCUGGACAGUCAGACAAGAAGGCUCACUUUCUCCAGGAAUCUCCUAGUGCCAGGUUCUGGGCUGUGGACACCAUGCUGGCCAGAGGAAGCUGCUGCACAGGUACAGAGGUGCAGAGGGUGGGGCUGCACUGAGAGGGCGGGGCGGGAUCAGAAGUAAUUUGACCAGUUAGGAAGCUACUGCAAUAGCAAUAUUGAUUAUUUACUAUGUGUCAGAUGCUGUGCCAUUGUGCUAGGUGCUGGGCAUAGGAGUGAAAAAGACACCAAAGUCCUCAGUUCCAGGGAAUUAAUUUUUCUAGUAAACAAACAAACCAAAAAACAAGGAAAGUCAUCAUUACUAUGGAGAAAACAACACUGGAUCUUGUCAUAGCGACUGAGGCCUCCACAGAAGUGUCUUCCUUUGGCUUUGGUAUCAAGGUAAUGCUGGCCUCAUAAGUUGUCUCCCUUUAUCCAUGAGGGACAUCUUCCAAGGCCCCCAGUGGAUGUCUGAAACCGCAGGUAGUACCAAAUCCUAUAUGCAUUAUGUUUUUUCCUAUACAUACAUACCUAUGAUAAAGUUUAUUAAUUAGUUACAGUAAGAGAUUGACAGCAAUAGCUAACAAUAAAGUAGAACAACUAUAACAAUAUGCCAUCAGCAUUACUCUUGGGGCUAUUAUUUAGUAAAAUAAAGGUUACCUGAACACAAGCACUGCGAUACUGAGACAGUAGAUCUGAUAACUGAGACAGCUACUAAGUCACCAUCGAAGAGCAUAUACAGCAUGGAUAUGCUGGACAAAGGGAUGAUAAACAUCUGGAUGGGAUGGUAUAAGAUUUCAUCAUGCUACUCAGAAUGGCAUGCAAUUUAAAACUUAUGAAUUAUUUAUUUCUGGAAUUUUUUAUUUAAGAUCUUUAGACUGUAGUUGACCAGAGGUAGCUGAAACCAUGGAAUUCAAAACCGUGGAUAAGGGGGUACUACUGCCCACACACAUUAAAGAACUCAAAGGUGGGUAGACAUGAUACUUAUGUAUAAGGAAACUGAGUGAAACUCAGAUACGAUUCAUAUCCAGUAUUCCACAGCCAGUAAGAGAUGGGUCUGGAAUUGACACUCAUGUUUUCUCAUUUCAUGUCUUUUUAGCAUACUUUUGUCCAUAAAGCAAAAUCCGAAGAUUAGUGUUAAGAAACAGGAUUUGGAACUCUCAGAACAAGGCCAUUGGGGGUGGAGAUUUCUUACCUAUGGCUUAAAGAGGUGGGUGACAGAAAUGGCUCAUUCAACCAUAGAUGGUUUAAAAUAGCAUUUCAAUGGUUAAUCAUCAGCAGAAUAGACAAUUCGAGAAACAUUCUAAAAGGAACUUUGUGGAUUGGGUUCUUUGACCAUUAUAGUAUUUCCUCUUCUAACAUUCCUUUCCCUUUCAUCUUUAUUUCCCACUUAGUUUGCUUUUCAGUUAAAGGCAGUCAGUGAAAGUGUCACUCAAUAUCAGAGCAGCACAUUGGAGUAGAAAAGCAACAUGGGCUUUGAAGAUGUAGGUGCUGUAUUUGAGUUUUCAGUGAUCU
rnacentral:lncRNA from 1 species